GAGUUUGAUCCUAGCUCAGAUUGAACGCUGGCGGCAGGCCUAACACAUGCAAGUCGAGCGGAUGACGGGAGCUUGCUCCUUGAUUCAGCGGCGGACGAGUGAGUAAUGCCUAGGAAUCUGCCUGGUAGUGGGGGACAACGUUUCGAAAGGAACGCUAAUACCGCAUACGUCCUACGGGAGAAAGCAGGGGACCUUCGGGCCUUGCGCUAUCAGAUGAGCCUAGGUCGGAUUAGCUAGUUGGUGGGGUAAUGGCUCACCAAGGCGACGAUCCGUAACUGGUCUGAGAGGAUGAUCAGUCACACUGGAACUGAGACACGGUCCAGACUCCUACGGGAGGCAGCAGUGGGGAAUAUUGGACAAUGGGCGAAAGCCUGAUCCAGCCAUGCCGCGUGUGUGAAGAAGGCC
rnacentral:rRNA from 1 species